UUAUCAUGGUUCAAAUAUGUCAUAUUUACUUAAAGUUUUUCUUCAAACCCUUUGAAAGGGAAGUUAAAACUAAAAGGAAGUCUUUUAGUUUUACAAUGCAUGCAAGUGAGUUACUGCGUUAUCUUUUAUCUGGCUUUUGUCCAUUGCUUUUUGAUGAGCUUUCCCAGCAGUUGCCUCACUCUCAUCUUAAUCUGGAAUUCUCACCCUUAAAUGAAUUUAGAUGCUUGACUCAUUGCAUAAAUCUCUCUUCUAAGGAGCUCCAGCCACCUACCACCACAGUUGCCAGGUCUGGAACACCCGCAGUAGAAAACAAGCAGCAGAUUGGGGAUGCUAUUCGGAUGAUAGUCAGAGGGACUCUUGGCAGCUGCAGCAGCAGCAGUGAAUGCCUUGAAGACAGUACUAUGGGAAGUGUUGCAGACACAGUGGCAAGGGUUCUUCGGGGAUGUCUGGAAAACAUGCCGGAAGCUGAUUGCAUUCCCAAAGAGCAGCUGAGCACAUCAUUUCAGUGGGUCACCAAAUGGGUUGAUUACUCUAACAAAUAUGGCUUCGGGUA
rnacentral:sRNA from 1 species